GGGUUGUGAGGUUAAGCGACUAAGCGUACACGGUGGAUGCCCUGGCAGUCAGAGGCGAUGAAGGACGUGCUAAUCUGCGAUAAGCGUCGGUAAGGUGAUAUGAACCGUUAUAACCGGCGAUUUCCGAAUGGGGAAACCCAGUGUGAUUCGUCACACUAUCAUUAACUGAAUCCAUAGGUUAAUGAGGCGAACCGGGGGAACUGAAACAUCUAAGUACCCCGAGGAAAAGAAAUCAACCGAGAUUCCCCCAGUAGCGGCGAGCGAACGGGGAGGAGCCCAGAGCCUGAAUCAGUGUGUGUGUUAGUGGAAGCGUCUGGAAAGGCGCGCGAUACAGGGUGACAGCCCCGUACACAAAAAUGCACAUAUUGUGAGCUCGAUGAGUAGGGC
rnacentral:rRNA from 1 species